CUCCCGCUAACCCCGCAGACUCCCGAGAAAUUCGUGUUUAAAGUUUAAAAUCGACGCUGAGACACCCUUUAUUACAACAGGACAAUCAAUGACAAGAAUACCAUUGAAACAAAUUGAAAAUACAAUGGAACCUUCUACAUCAAGGCACAAAAGUUUUGUAGAAGUUCCAAGUACUUCCAGCAAGGAACGAUUUCAGUAUGCACCAAGACUGGUAUCUGCAUCAAGAAGUGCCACUGAAGAUAACGCUUUGCAAUCUCAUCUCACACCCAAGAAAAAUCGUGGCAUUUUACAAACACUGAAUAUUACAAAAAUUAGUCAAAUUACUACCAGAGAAGUUAAAUUAUACUAUGUGUGCCAAAGAAGAUUAAGGGAAAUAAUGAGACUUAGGAAACAAUUAAAAAAAAAAAGAAGAUGAAUAUAAUUGAAAAAAUUUCAGAGGAUUAGAAUAUACAGAAGCUUUGCAAUUUAAAAAUUUCAAAUGCAUUUGUUGCAUUACUGCAAAGUCAAAUGAAAAAUUGCCCUAGAAAGCCGAAAGGAAGAAGGUACACAUUAGAGCAAAAACUAAUGUCUUUAGUGAUUUAUAAAAAGUCACCAGCCUGUUACAGGCUACUAAGGCGACUGUUUGCAUUGCCAGGCCAAAGUUGUCUUAAUAAACUACUGAAUUGUGUGCCCCUGACACAGGUAUAAACAAACAGUUGUUUGAAUCUUUAAAGAAAAUGGCACAGAAGCAAAUGGAUGAAGAUAAUAUUUCUUUAUUGUUAUUUGAUGAAAUGUCUAUAAGGAAACAUUUGCAUUAUAACUGUAAAUUAGACUAGAUACAGGGCUUCCAAGAUCGUGGUAAUCAUGGCCGAAAUAAGCAAAUUGCGACAAAGACACUAGUAUUUAUGCUUACUGGAUUGCGAAAAAAGUGGAAACAGCCUAUCGCUUUCUAUUUUUCACAUGCUUUAAUAGCUGAUAGAAUGACUGUGAUUUUAAAAGAGAUACUUAUAGAAUGCUUCAAUUCAGGGAUUAAUGUUGUUGCUACUGUGUGUGAUCUCUCGACAGUCAAUAUAAAAGUGCUCAGAAACCUGGGAGCAACAACUAAGGAACCAUAUUUUUCACAUGCUGGACAGGAAAUUGUGGCAAUUUUAGAUCCUCCACAUUUGCUGAAAUGCAUAAUGAAAUGGAGUCACUUUGAAAAAUUUUUAUAAUCUGGACAAAAACAACCCAAACUUUGUUUAUGCGCCUGCACUAACAGACCAACACAUUCAUCCCAACGUCAAGCAACAGAUG
rnacentral:misc_RNA from 1 species